AAGAACUAGGCAGCCUAUUAUUCCUGCAAUAUACAAUCCAUUUCGUUGCUUUUCUUUGAGAUUAACAUCCUUACUAAGACCAUCUGGAGUUUGUAAUUUUUGAAACUUCUAAAGUGAUCCUAGAGUAUUUGAAUGAACAUCUGUGGUCUUGUUGUCACCCAAGUACACUUUCUGUGUUGAUAUAUUUAGCUUUUGAUUUAAUCAGUCACUUUCAUACCUCAAUGCCCAUGAAAUUUGCUUCCCUAUUAGCUAAUGAACUUUCAUAGGUGCCUCCAGGACAAGCCCGACUUCUCAGACUUUAUAAACGAGGUCUUUGCUAGGAGAUCUGAGCUCCAUCGGGGAGUCAGGGGCAGCAAGAUGAUGUCGCAGACCCAGGUGUUCGCGUGCCUCUUGCUCUGCGUCUCUGGUGUCUGCGGUGACAUUGUGGUGACCCAGUCUCCAAGGUCCCUGACUGUGUCUCCUGGAGAGAGUGCCACCAUCCGCUGCAAGGCCAGCCAGAGUCUUCUAGAUAGUGAUGACAACAAGAAUUACUUAUCCUGGUACCAGCAGAAACCAGGACAGUCUCCCAGACUGCUCAUCUACUACGCAUCCACACGGGAGUCUGGGGUCCCAGACCGGUUCAGUGGCAGUGGGUCUGGGACGGAUUUCACUCUCACCAUAAAAAAUGUCCAAGCAGAAGAUGUGGGCGACUAUUACUGUCAGCAAGUUUAUGAUAUCCCUCCCACAGUGAUUCAUCCUCGAACAAAAACUUCCCCUUGGGUCUCCCCAGCUGCUUGCUCCCCACAGGGCCCAGGGCUUGACACUUCCUCCUGCUGCCUGAGAGAUUGUGCCCACUCUAUGCACGGAAGAUUUUAUAGUCCCUAG